rnacentral:rRNA from 1 species
AGUUUGAUCCUGGCUCAGGAUGAACGCUAGCGGCAGGCCUAACACAUGCAAGUCGAGGGGUAGAGCACUUCGGUGCUUGAGACCGGCGCACGGGUGCGUAACGCGUAUGCAAUCUACCUUAUACUAAGGGAUAGCCCAGAGAAAUUUGGAUUAAUACCUUAUAGAAUGUUUAAAUGGCAUCAUUUUAAUAUUAAAGAUUUAUUGGUAUAAGAUGAGCAUGCGUCCCAUUAGUUAGUUGGUAAGGUAACGGCUUACCAAGACGAUGAUGGGUAGGGGUCCUGAGAGGGAGAUCCCCCACACUGGUACUGAGACACGGACCAGACUCCUACGGGAGGCAGCAGUGAGGAAUAUUGGUCAAUGGGCGCAAGCCUGAACCAGCCAUGCCGCGUGCAGGAUGACGCAUCUAUGGUGUGUAAACUGCUUUUGUACAGGAAGAAACAGUUCUUUGCGAAGAACCUUGACGGUACUGUAAGAAUAAGGAUCGGCUAACUCCGUG